rnacentral:lncRNA from 1 species
GAGAUGUACAGUAUUUCGUAUCAUCUAAACUGGAAAUUUAUACAAUAUUUCUAAAUUACAGAAACAUAACACUUACCUCUCAGGAUCUUUCGGAAAUCUGAAAAAUGAUAAAUUUGAAUGUUUUUGCUUAUAUUUUCUGCAAAAAGCUGCAGCACAACACGAGUGUCCGGAAGACGCCAUUUCUUCUUAGCACUGAAUGUCCUCUAGUCGGUGCUGGAAAACGAGUUUAUAAAAACGUCAAAGUUUCGUAUCCGUUCUAUCAUCAUCCGUGUAGACCACUUUUAUACCUAAAUCACCUUUAUGAAAUGCGAUUUUCUAAAAAUCUCGGUCUAAAUUUCUAGACGAGAGAGCUGGUCUAGACCACGUCUCUGAAAUCGGGCCUAUGUGUUCCGAUGUACACUAUUCUCCAAGUACA